UACGGGGGGAGCAAGCGUUGUUCGGAUUUACUGGGCGUAAAGGGCGCGUAGGCGGCGUGACAAGUCACUUGUGAAAUCUCCGGGCUUAACUCGGAACGGUCAAGUGAUACUGUCGUGCUAGAGUACAGAAGGGGCAACUGGAAUUCUCGGUGUAGCGGUGAAAUGCGUAGAUAUCGAGAGGAACACCUGCGGCGAAGGCAGGUCUCUGGGCAUUAACUGACGCUGAGGAGCGAAAGCAUGGGGAGCGAACAGG
rnacentral:rRNA from 1 species